ACACGACUACAUUAGAUACCCGUGUAGUCCUAGCCGUAAACGAUACUCGCUAGGUGUCGGCCACGGUGCGACCGUUGUCGGUGCCGUAGGGAAGCCGUGAAGCGAGCCACCUGGGAAGUACGGCCGCAAGGCUGAAACUUAAAGGAAUUGGCGGGGAGCACCACGAGAGGUGGAGGCUGCGGUUCAAUUGGACUCAACGCCGGAAAACUCAUCGGGAGCGACAGCAGUAUGAUUGCCAGGUUGAUGACCUUGCUUGACAAGCUG
rnacentral:rRNA from 1 species